AUUGAACGCUGGCGGCAUGCCUUACACAUGCAAGUCGAACGGCAGCACGGGAGCAAUCCUGGUGGCGAGUGGCGAACGGGUGAGUAAAGUAUCGGAACGUGCCCAGUCGGGGGGGAUAACGUAGCGAAAGUUACGCUAAUACCGCAUACGAUCUAUGGAUGAAAGCGGGGGAUCGCAAGACCUCGCGCGACUGGAGCGGCCGAUAUCAGAUUAGGUAGUUGGUGGGGUAAAGGCUCACCAAGCCGACGAUCUGUAGCUGGUCUGAGAGGACGACCAGCCACACUGGGACUGAGACACGGCCCAGACUCCUACGGGAGGCAGCAGUGGGGAAUUUUGGACAAUGGGCGCAAGCCUGAUCCAGCCAUGCCGCGUGCAGGAUGAAGGCCUUCGGGUUGUAAACUGCUUUUGUACGGAACGAAAAGGUUUGACUUAAUACGUUGGACUCAUGACGGUACCGUAAGAAUAAGCACCGGCUAACUACGUGCCAGCCGCCGCAGUAA
rnacentral:rRNA from 1 species